UACGUAGGGGGCAAGCGUUGUCCGGAUUUAUUGGGCGUAAAGAGCGUGUAGGCGGCCAGGUCGGUCAGCUGUGAAAACUCGAGGCUCAACCUCGAGACGCCGGUUGAAACCAUCUGGCUAGAGUCCGGAAGAGGAGAGUGGAAUUCCUGGUGUAGCGGUGAAAUGCGCAGAUAUCAGGAAGAACAGCCGUGGCUAAGGCGGCUCUCUAGUACGGUACUGACGCUGAGACGCGAAAGCGUGGGGAGCGAACAGG
rnacentral:rRNA from 1 species